rnacentral:rRNA from 1 species
GGACUACUGGGGUAUCUAAUCCUGUUUGCUCCCCACGCUUUCGCACCUCAGUGUCAGUCUGGUACCAGGCAGUCGCCUUCGCCACUGGUGUUCUUUCCGAUCUCUACGCAUUUCACCGCUACACCGGAAAUUCCACUGCCCUCUCACCGACUCCAGUCUGCCAGUUUCCAACGCCGUUCCCAGGUUAAGCCCGGGGAUUUCACAUCAGACUUUGCAAACCACCUACAUGCGCUUUACGCCCAGUAAUUCCGAUUAACGCUUGCACCCUCUGUAUUACCGCGGCUGCUGGCAC